rnacentral:rRNA from 1 species
GUAGGUGGCAAGCGUUGUCCGGAAUUAUUGGGCGUAAAGCGCGCGCAGGCGGUUCUUUAAGUCUGAUGUGAAAGCCCACGGCUCAACCGUGGAGGGUCAUUGGAAACUGGAGAACUUGAGUACAGAAGAGGAAAGCGGAAUUCCACGUGUAGCGGUGAAAUGCGUAGAGAUGUGGAGGAACACCAGUGGCGAAGGCGGCUUUCUGGUCUGUAACUGACGCUGAGGCGCGAAAGCGUGGGGAGCAAACAGGGAUUAGAUACCCUGGUAGUCCACGCCGUAAACGAUGAGUACUAAGUGUUAGGGGGUUUCCGCCCCCUUAGUGCUGCAGCUAACGCAUUAAGCACUCCGCCUGGGGAGUACGGCCGCAAGGCUG